GGAUUGGGGGAUACUCCUUCUAGGCUAAAUAUUACCAUGAGACCGAUAGCGAACAAGUACCGUGAGGGAAAGUUGAAAAGCACUCUGAAUAGAGAGUCAAAUAGUACGUGAAACUGUCUAGGGGCUCAAACCUAAAGAACCCAAAUAUCUAAACGGAGAAAUUCAAUACUACCCUUUAAAACGUCGUAGUGUGCACUUUUCUCUUAGUAAGACGACGUGAUCCAUUAGAAAUUGAUACAUACAAAAUGUAUAUUGGGUCAUCAAUAGGCCAGUAUGAAGUUUAUUGGAACAAAUGGCAUGAUCUUAUACGGUCGUGUGUAUUGUCUGGUAAGCAUAUUGUGUACCUGUAAUGACUGUCUGAUGGAUUUUAAAGACGCUAUCAAUGAUGUUACGGCAUCACUUGUCUUUAUUGAUGAGAGUACGUUAGCUGUCUGAUCAACGUCGGUUAAAUUUGGGAUACCUUUUGGACCCGUCUUGAAACACCGGACCAAAAUAGGGUAUCCAAAUUUAACCGACUUUGAUACACGCUAGUACUCUCAUCAAUAAAGACAGUGAUGCCAUAACAUCAGUGAUGCGUCUUUAAAUCCAUCAGACGUCUUACGGUACACAUAUGCUUACAGACAUACACACCACGUAUAAAUCACGCAUUUGUUCAAUAACUUCAACGGGCCUAUGGAGAACCAAUAUACUUUUGUAGUAAUCAUUUCUGGGGGACACGUCCUCUUCUAAGAGAAAAGUGCCCCCAGACCUUUUAAGGGGGAGUAUUGAGUCCUCGAUUAAUAGUGGGUUCUGUAGGUUGAGCCGCUGACGUUUACGUACUAUUGACUCCUCUAUGACGAGUGCUAUCACUUCUGCAGUACUGGUUGGAUUCGUUCAAGGUAUAUACUAGCUAGGAUGUGACUUACCUUCCCAUGUAGGCGUGCAUAUCACAGCGCACGAGAG
rnacentral:rRNA from 1 species